rnacentral:rRNA from 1 species
UACGUAGGGCGCAAGCGUUAUCCGGAAUUAUUGGGUUUAAAGAGCUCGUAGGCGGUUUGUCGCGUCUGCCGUGAAAGUCCGGGGCUUAACCCCGGAUCUGCGGUGGGUACGGGCAGACUUGAGUGAUGUAGGGGAGACUGGAAUUCCUGGUGUAGCGGUGAAAUGCGCAGAUAUCAGGAGGAACACCGAUGGCGAAGGCAGGUCUCUGGGCAUUAACUGACGCUGAGGAGCGAAAGCAUGGGGAGCGAACAGG